UACAGAGGUCCCGAGCGUUGUUCGGAUUCACUGGGCGUAAAGGGUGCGUAGGUGGUGAGGUAAGUCGGAUGUGAAAUCUCCAGGCUCAACCUGGAAACUGCAUUGGAAACUACCUUGCUGGAGGAUUUGAGGGGGGAUUGGAAUACUUGGUGUAGCAGUGAAAUGCGUAGAUAUCAAGUGGAACACCAGUGGCGAAGGCGAAUCCCUGGAAAAUACCUGACACUGAGGCACGAAAGCUAGGGGAGCAAACGGG
rnacentral:rRNA from 1 species